rnacentral:tRNA from 1 species
UGGGCUGUAGCUCAGUGGCAGAGUGCUUGCCUAGCAUGUGAGGUACUGAGUUAAAUCCUCAGCACCACAU